UACGGAGGGUGCAAGCGUUAUCCGGAUUUACUGGGUUUAAAGGGUGCGCAGGCGGAUAUGUAAGUCAGUGGUGAAAUCUCCGGGCUUAACCCGGAAACUGCCGUUGAUACUAUAUAUCUUGAAUGCUGUGGAGGUAAGCAGAAUAUGUCAUGUAGCGGUGAAAUGCUUAGAGAUGACAUAGAAUACCUAUUGCGAAGGCAGCUUACUACGCAGAUAUUGACGCUCAUGCACGAAAGCGUGGGGAUCAAGCAGG
rnacentral:rRNA from 1 species